CGUAGGGUGCGAGCGUUAAUCGGAAUUACUGGGCGUAAAGCGUGCGCAGGCGGUUUUGUAAGACAGAUGUGAGAUCCCCGGGCUCAACCUGGGACCUGCAUUUGUGACUGCAAGGCUAGAGUACGGUAGAGGGGGAUGGAAUUCCGCGUGUAGCAGUGAAAUGCGUAGAUAUGCGGAGGAACACCGAUGGCGAAGGCAAUCCCCUGGACCUGUACUGACGCUCAUGCACGAAAGCGUGGGGAGCAAACAGGAUUAGAUACCCUGGUAGUCCACGCCCUAAACGAUGUCAACUGGUUGUUGGGUCUUUACUGACUCAGUAACGAAGCUAACGCGUGAAGUUGACCGCCUGGGGAGUACGGCCGCAAGGUUG
rnacentral:rRNA from 1 species